GGCUCAGAUUGAACGCUGGCGGCAGGCCUAACACAUGCAAGUCGAGCGGUAGCACGGGAGAGCUUGCUCUUUGGGUGACGAGCGGCGGACGGGUGAGUAAUGUCUGGGAAACUGCCUGAUGGAGGGGGAUAACUACUGGAAACGGUAGCUAAUACCGCAUGACCUCGCAAGAGCAAAGUGGGGGACCUUCGGGCCUCUCGCCAUCGGAUGUGCCCAGAUGGGAUUAGCUAGUAGGUGGGGUAAUGGCUCACCUAGGCGACGAUCCCUAGCUGGUCUGAGAGGAUGACCAGCCACACUGGAACUGAGACACGGUCCAGACUCCUACGGGAGGCAGCAGUGGGGAAUAUUGCACAAUGGGCGCAAGCCUGAUGCAGCCAUGCCGCGUGUGUGAAGAAGGCCUUAGGGUUGUAAAGCACUUUCAGCGAGGAGGAAGGC
rnacentral:rRNA from 1 species